rnacentral:rRNA from 1 species
AGUCGACGAUGAACCUCCUUCGGGAGGGGAAGAGUGGCGAACGGGUGAGUAACACGUGGGCAAUCUGCCCUGCACUCUGGGAUAACUCCGGGAAACCGGAGCUAAUACCGGAUACGACCACCGCGGGCAUCCGUGGUGGUGGAAAGCUCCGGCGGUGCAGGAUGAGCCCGCGGCCUAUCAGCUGGUUGGUGGGGUGACGGCCCACCAAGGCGACGACGGGUAGCCGGCCUGAGAGGGCGACCGGCCACACUGGGACUGAGACACGGCCCAGACUCCUACGGGAGGCAGCAGUGGGGAAUAUUGCACAAUGGGCGCAAGCCUGAUGCAGCGACGCCGCGUGAGGGAUGACGGCCUUCGGGUUGUAAACCUCUUUCAGCAGGGAAGAAGCGCGAGUGACGGUACCUGCAGAAGAAGCACCGGCUAACUACGUGCCAGCAGCCGCGGUAAUACGUAGGGUGCGAGCGUUGUCCGGAAUUAUUGGGCGUAAAGAGCUCGUAGGCGGCCUGUCGCGUCGGAUGUGAAAGCCCGGGGGCUUAACCCCGGGUCUGCAUUCGAUACGGGCAGGCUAGAGUUCGGUAGGGGAGAUCGGAAUUCCUGGUGUAGCGGUGAAAUGCGCAGAUAUCAGGAGGAACACCGGUGGCGAAGGCGGAUCUCUGGGCCGAUACUGACGCUGAGGAGCGAAAGCGUGGGGAGCGAACAGGAUUAGAUACCCUGGUAGUCCACGCCGUAAACGUUGGGCACUAGGUGUGGGCGGCAUUCCACGUCGUCCGUGCCGCAGCU